CACUUGAUCCUGAAUCGCGGCCAUAAAGC
rnacentral:sRNA from 1 species